GUGGGGAAUUUUGGACAAUGGGCGAAAGCCUGAUCCAGCCAUGCCGCGUGCAGGAUGAAGGCCUUCGGGUUGUAAACUGCUUUUGUACGGAACGAAAAGACUCCUUCUAAUAAAGGGGGUCCAUGACGGUACCGUAAGAAUAAGCACCGGCUAACUACGUGCCAGCAGCCGCGGUAAUACGUAGGGUGCAAGCGUUAAUCGGAAUUACUGGGCGUAAAGCGUGCGCAGGCGGUUAUAUAAGACAGAUGUUAAAUCCCCGGGCUCAACCUGGGAACUGCAUUUGUGACUGUAUAGCUAGAGUACGGUAGAGGGGGAUGGAAUUCCGCGUGUAGCAGUGAAAUGCGUAGAUAUGCGGAGGAACACCGAUGGCGAAGGCAAUCCCCUGGACCUGUACUGACGCUCAUGCACGAAAGCGUGGGGAGCAAACAGGAUUAGAAACCCGGGUAGUCC
rnacentral:rRNA from 1 species